rnacentral:rRNA from 1 species
UUUUGGCAUAUCAUUAAGCGGAGGAAAAGAAACCAACAGGGAUUGCCCUAGUAACGGCGAGUGAAGCGGCAACAGCUCAAAUUUGAAAUCUGGCCUCUUUUGGGGUCCGAGUUGUAAUUUGCAGAGGGCGCUUUGGAGUCGGCAGCGGUCCAAGUUCCUUGGAACAGGACGUCACAGAGGGUGAGAAUCCCGUACGUGGUCGCUAGCCUUCUCCGUGUAAAGCCCCUUCGACGAGUCGAGUUGUUUGGGAAUGCAGCUCUAAAUGGGAGGUAAAUUUCUUCUAAAGCUAAAUAUUGGCCAGAGACCGAUAGCGCACAAGUAGAGUGAUCGAAAGAUGAAAAGCACUUUGGAAAGAGAGUCAAAAAGCACGUGAAAUUGUUGAAAGGGAAGCGCUUGCAGCCAGACUUGCCUGUAGUUGCUCAUCCGGGCUUUUGCCCGGUGCACUCUUCUAUAGGCAGGCCAGCAUCAGUUUGGGCGGUUGGAUAAAGGUCUCUGUCAUGUACCUCUCUUCGGGGAGAAACUUAUAGGGGAGACGCCAUGCAACCAGCUCAGACUGAGGUCCGCGCAUUCGCUAGGAUGCUGGCGUAAUGGCUGUAAGCGGCCCGUCUUGAAACACGGACCCAAAAAA